UAUGACCCUAGGUUAGGUGGGAUUACCUAUUAAGUUUAAGCACAAUGAUAAGUGGAGAAAAAGAAACUUACUAGGAUUCCCUUAGUAACGAUGAGUGAACCGAUAGAGCCGAGAAUCGAGCACCCAUGGCAUCUGAAUUGUAGUUUGGAGAAGCAUCCUUAGUAGUAGACUAGGUCGAACUCCCUUGGAAAAGGGCACUAAGAGGGUGAGAGUCGCAUUGUGCUCAGACCUUAUCACACCACGAGGCAUUGUUUGUGAGUCGGGUUGUUUAAAACUACAGCCCCAAUCGGGCUAUAAAUUUUAUGUGAGGCUAAAUACACUUGAGAGAUCGAUAGUGAACAAGUACCAUAAGCGAAAGAUGAAAAGGACUUUGAAAAGAGAGUCAAAGAGUGCUUGAAAUUGUUAGGAAGAAAGCAGAUGGGGCUAGUGAUGCAUCUCAAUUGAAUGUAGAAUGGUAAGAGCCAGUCUAUCGAUCGGUCGAUUUGUUGAUCAACUUGGGGAAUGGACCAAUUUAGGUCAUAGCAGUGGCCUAAGCCCUAGCUUUUGAUAUGCCCUUAGAGACAUUGUCACCAUAAUUAUGGAAUGCAACACUCACCACCUUAGUGUAACUUGGUACCCACGUGCUCUUGACAUCAACCUGUAGGCUCCCAAUCUAACCCGUCUUAAAACAUGAACUAAGGAGUCUGACAUGUGUGUGAGUCAAUGGGCUAGAAAAUUUGUAGGGCGUAAGGAAGUUGAUUGGCAAGAUACCUCAUGGGUGCACUACCUACUAACCUUGAUCUUUGAAGAAGAGUUUGAGUGUGAACAUGCUUGUUAGGACCUAAAAGAUGGUGAACCAUACCUGAGCAAGGUGAAGCCAAAGAAAACUCUGAUGGAGGCUCACAAUGAUAUUGAUGUUGAAAUUGUUCAUCUAACUUGGGUAUAGGGGCAAAAAACUAGUCAAACAAUUUAGUAGCUAGUUUCAUUUGAAGUUUCCCUUAGGAUAGCUACACCCUUAGUGAGUUCUAUAGGUAAAGCUAAUGAUUAGAGGCAUUAGAGAUGCAAUGCCCUUGACCUAUUCUCAAAUUUUAAAUUGGUAGGAUGAUGUUACUACUUCAUUGAGUAAUGCCAUGGAAUCAAUAGCUUUAAGGGGGCCAUUUUUUAUAAGCAAAACUAGCAAGGUGGGUUGAGCUGAAAGCUGAGUUACAGUGCCCAUCUACGUGCUAACUUAGAACCCACAAAGGGGUUGGUCAAUUAAGACAGCAGAAUGGUGGUCAUAGAAGUCAAAAUCUACUAAAGAGUAUGUAACAACUCACCUACCAAUCAACUAGACCAAAAAAUGGAUGGUACUUAAGCGUGUGACCUAUACCUAGCUGUCAGGGAAAAGAUCGGGCCCUAAUGAGUAAGAAGGUAAGGCGAUCGUUGCAAAACCUAGGGUAUGAGCCUGGGUAGAGUAGCUAUCGAUGCAGAUCUUGGUGGUGGUAGUAAAUAUUCAAAUGAAAAUUUUGAAGGCUGAAGAGAGGAAAGGUUCCAUGUGAAUGACACUAGCACAUGGGUUAGUUGAUCCUAAGAGAUGGGGGAAAUUUUCUUCUGAUAACGCGUCUAGUGUUAGCUUUAAAAGAGAAUUGGGUUAAAAUUCCUAAACUAAGAUCCAGUAGCUAACAACAACAUUAAGGAGUCUAGAGACAUUAGUGAUGGCCUCAGGAAGAGUUAUCUUUUCUGUUUAAUGGCCUAUCCACCCUGAAAAUGGCUCAGCUAGAUUUAGGGUUUAGCAGCUAGAAGAGCACUGCACAUCAUGCAAUAUCUAGUGCACCCUUGAUGGCCCUUAAAAGUCUAGAGGAUCGAGUGCCAUCUAUGCUUGGUUUUACUCAUAAUCGCAUCUGGUCUCCUAGGUGAACGGCCUCUAGUCGAUGGAAUAAUAUAGGUAGGGGAAGUCAACAAAAUGGAUUUGUAAGCUUAAGAAAAAGAUUGGCUUUGAAGGCUAGGCAUAGGGGUCCCAAUCUUGAACCCAUUAACUCUCAAUGCACUACUCUAGCUGUUCCCACGGUGAGAGUGGGUCAUAGCUUGCUACCUGAGGGAUGGACUAGGAAUGCCUCCCUUGUGGGCCUUUCUCGAGUGAUGAAUAGUCGACUCAGAACUAGUAUAGGCAAAGGGAAUAUGACUAUUUAAUUAAAACAUAGCACUGUGAUGGUCCUUGUAGAUGCUCCCACAAUAUGAUUUUUGCCCAGUGCUUUGAUUAUCAAAGUGAACAAAUUCAACCAAGCAUGGGUAAAUGGUAGGAGUAACUUUGACUGUUUUAAGGUAGCUAUAUGCCUUGUCAUCUAAUUAGUAACAGGCAUGAAUGGAUUAACAAGAUUCCCAUUGUCUCUUUUUACUAUCUAGUGAAACCAUAGCCAAGGGAAUGGGCUCAGUAGAUUCUAUGGGGAAAGAAGACUCUGUUGAGCUUAACUUUAGUCCGACUUUAUGAAAUGACUUAAUAAGUGUAGGAUAAGUGAAAGCCUUCAAGUGAAAUUGAAAUACCACAACUUUUAAUGUUAUUUUACUUAUUCCAUUUAUCAGAGGUGGGUAUGACUUUUGGACCUAAGGCUAACCUCAAUUGGUUGAUCCUAGCAAAAAACAUUGUUAGGUGGAGAGUUUAGCUGAGGUAGCACAUUUGUUAAAAGAUAAUGCAAGUGUCCUAAGAUGAGCUCAAUGAGAAUAAAAAUCUCAUGUGAAAUAAAAGGGUAAAAGCUCAUUUGAUUAUGAUUUACAGUAUGAAUAUGAAUCAUGAAAGCAUGGCCUAUCGAUCCAUUAGACCUUCAAAAUUUCAAGCUAAAGGUGUAAAAAAAGUUACCUUAAGGAUAAUUGGCUUGUGGCAGCCAAUCGUUCAUAUUGACAUUGCUUUUUCAUCCUUUGAUGUCAACUUUUCCUAUCACUAUGAAGCAAAAUUCACCAUGUGUUUGAUUUUUCACCCACCAAAAGGGAAUGUGAGCUUGGUUUAGACCAUCAUGAGAUAGGCUAGUUUUACCCUACUGAUGGUAGCGUCGUAAUAGUAAUUCAACCUAGUGUGAGAGGAACCAUUGAUUCUUACAAUGGUAAUUACGCUUAGUUGAAAAGUUGGUGGCAUGAAGCUACCAUGCGUUAGAUUAUGACUAAACGUCUCUAAGUCAGAAUCUAGGCUAGAAGUGAUGCAUGCACCUAUUGUCUAAUUGCUGACCUGCAAUAGGGGCCGAUGCCCCCUAAAGGCAUAUGUCAUAGGUGUAGCCCCUGUAAUAGACAAGCCGCAUAGGCCUUCUUAGAGUUGGAUUCCCACCAAGUGUUGGGUAGAAUCCUUUAUAGAUGACUUAAAUAUGUGAUGGGUAUUGUACGUGGCAAAGUGGCCUUGCUACCAUGAUCCACUAGGAUUCAACCCUUUGUAGCUUUGAUUCAU
rnacentral:rRNA from 1 species